rnacentral:tRNA from 1 species
UGGGGUGUAGCUCAGCAGUAGAGCGCUUGACUUCCAAGAGUGAGGCACUGGGUUCAAUCCUCAGCACCACAU